rnacentral:rRNA from 1 species
GGGCCCGCACAAGCGGUGGAGCAUGUGGUUUAAUUCGAUGAUACGCGAGGAACCUUACCAGGGCUUAAAUGUACGUUGCAUAAAUCAGAGAUGGUUUUUUCUUCGGACUACGUACAAGGUGCUGCAUGGUUGUCGUCAGCUCGUGCCGUGAGGUGUCAGGUUAAGUCCUAUAACGAGCGCAACCCCUGUCGUUAGUUGCCAGCAUUUAAGAUGGGUACUCUAGCGAGACUGCCGGUGCAAACCGUGAGGAAGGUGGGGAUGACGUCAAAUCAUCACGGCCCUUACGUCCUGGGCUACACACGUGCUACAAUGGCCGGUACAGAGAGCAGCCACUACGCGAGUAGGAGCGAAUCUAUAAAACCGGUCUCAGUUCGGAUCGCAGUCUGCAACUCGACUGCGUGAAGCUGGAAUCGCUAGUAA